CUCUGCAGGGAAGAGCCCAGCCGCCCGAAGGGAUGUGUCACAGGCCCAGCACCAGGGAGUCCUCCAGCCCCAGAGGGAGGCCUGCAUGCUUGGACAGCAGGUUGACCGAGUAGGAAAGUGCCAUGUUGUAUGUCCCAGCCUGCACAGAGGAGCCCCAGUUGACAGCUGCGGUGGGAUGAGGAAGAGGAUGCAGAAGAAAGAUCAGGAGGUCCCACACCUACAUCUCUCCUUCUAGUGGGAGAGCAUGUCUGAAGCAGCGAAUGGAAAGACCCACCCAGCAGUGAGAGAGAAAGGGGCUGGGAGGCACCUCCUUACCUGGCUUCUUGUAGCUGACAUAGGCCACGCUGACCAGGAUGAUUC